rnacentral:rRNA from 1 species
UACGGAGGAUCCAAGCGUUAUCCGGAAUCAUUGGGUUUAAAGGGUCCGUAGGCGGUUUGGUAAGUCAGUGGUGAAAGCCCAUCGCUCAACGGUGGAACGGCCAUUGAUACUGCCAGACUUGAAUUAUUAGGAAGUAACUAGAAUAUGUAGUGUAGCGGUGAAAUGCUUAGAGAUUACAUGGAAUACCAAUUGCGAAGGCAGGUUACUACUAAUGGAUUGACGCUGACGGACGAAAGCGUGGGUAGCGAACAGG